rnacentral:tRNA from 1 species
GGUGGCUCAGUGGUAAGAGCUCUUGCCUUGCAUGCAUGAGGCCCUGGGUUCAAUUCCUCAGCACCA